UUUAUCUUCGGAUAGAGAGACCGGCGCACGGGUGCGUAACGCGUAUGCAAUCUACCUUUUACAGAGGGAUAGCCCAGAGAAAUUUGGAUUAAUACCUCAUAGUAUAUAGACUCGGCAUCAAGAUUAUAUUAAAGUCACAACGGUAAAAGAUGAGCAUGCGUCCCAUUAGCUAGUUGGUAAGGUAACGGCUUACCAAGGCUACGAUGGGUAGGGGUCCUGAGAGGGAGAUCCCCCACACUGGUACUGAGACACGGACCAGACUCCUACGGGAGGCAGCAGUGAGGAAUAUUGGACAAUGGGCGCAAGCCUGAUCCAGCCAUGCCGCGUGCAGGAUGACGGUCCUAUGGAUUGUAAACUGCUUUUAUACGAGAAGAAACACUACUUCGUGAAGUAGCUUGACGGUAUCGUAAGAAUAAGGAUCGGCUAACUCCGUGCCAGCAGCCGCGGUAAUACGGAGGAUCCAAGCGUUAUCCGGAAUCAUUGGGUUUAAAGGGUCCGUAGGCGGUUUAAUAAGUCAGUGGUGAAAGCCCAUCGCUCAACGGUGGAACGGCCAUUGAUACUGUUAGACUUGAAUUAUUAGGAAGUAACUAGAAUAUGUAGUGUAGCGGUGAAAUGCUUAGAGAUUACAUGGAAUACCAAUUGCGAAGGCAGGUUACUACUAAUUGAUUGACGCUGAUGGACGAAAGCGUGGGUAGCGAACAGGAUUAGAUACCCUGGUAGUCCACGCCG
rnacentral:rRNA from 1 species